GCAUAAGCCACCGCGCCUAGCUAAUUUUUUUGUACUUUUAGUACAGACGGGGUUUCGCCAUGUUGGCCAGGCUGGCCUCGAACUCCUGACCCCAAGUGAUGUGCCCGCCUCCACCUGCCAAAGUGUUGGGAUUACAGGCUUGAGCCACUGCGCCCGGCCCAGAGACACUAAAUGCCUUACACAACAUCAGGAGUGUCCAGAUAUAUUCAGAAGCCAUCCUGGGCCACAAGCUCCAAGCACAUCGGAAGAUCACCCAGCCAGGGGACAGCCACAGUAGCAGCAUUUGAACCAGAGACUCCAAGGUUUUUCUCCUGGCUCAUGAAUACUGGCCCACAGCUCUAUCCUUGGCGACGCAAAUCAUGCUGGCUGCACACUGCCCCCUCUCCCAGGCCCAGGUGACCAUCAUCUCUUCUCUGCCACAGUACUUAGCUGGUCUCUUGCUUUCACCCUUGUCCCACUGCAGACUACUCCCAACCUUAGGAAUCAGCACACGUGGCCGGGCACGGUGGCUCAUGCCUGUAAUCCCAGAACUUUGGGAGGCCGAGGCUGGCGAAUCACCUGAGGUCAGGAUAUCGAGACCAUCCUGGCUAACAUGGGGAAACUCUGUCUCUACUAAAAAUACAAAAAAUUAGCCAGG
rnacentral:lncRNA from 1 species